GAGAAGAACGUAGCGAAAUGCGAUACGUAAUGUGAAUUGCAGAAUUCAGUGAAUCAUCGAGUCUUUGAACGCACAUUGCGCCCCCUGGUAUUCCGGGGGGCAUGCCUGUCCGAGCGUCAUUGCUGCCCUCAAGCACGGCUUGUGUGUUGGGCCUCCGUCCUCCUCCCGGGGGACGGGCCCGAAAGGCAGCGGCGGCACCGCGUCCGGUCCUCGAGCGUAUGGGGCUUCGUCACCCGCUCUUGUAGGCCCGGCCGGCGCUUGCCGACACAUCAAUCUUUUUUCCAGGUGACCUCGGAUCAGGUAGGGAUACCCGCUGAACUUAAGCAUAUCAAUAAGCGGAGGA
rnacentral:misc_RNA from 1 species